rnacentral:rRNA from 1 species
AGCAGCCGCGGUAAUUCCAGCUCCAAUAGCGUAUAUUAAAGUUGCUGCAGUUAAAAAGCUCGUAGUUGAAUUUCGGGACCGAUAUAUCGGUCGUGCCUCGGUACGUACUGGUAUUUUCGGUUUCUCCCUUCUGACGAACCUUGAUGUCAUUAAUUUGGUGUCUUGGGGAAUCAGGACUGUUACUUUGAAAAAAUUAGAGUGUUUAAAGCAGGCUCACGCUUGAAUACAUUAGCAUGGAAUAAUGAAAUAGGACGUUUGAUUCUAUUUUGUUGGUUUCUAGGAUCGACGUAAUGAUUAAUAGGGAUAGUUGGGGGCAUUAGUAUUCAAUUGUCAGAGGUGAAAUUCUUGGAUUUAUUGAAGACUAACUACUGCGAAAGCAUUUGCCAAGGAUGUUUUCAUUAAUCAAGAACGAAAGUUAGGGAUCGAAGACGAUCAGAUACCGUCG